rnacentral:rRNA from 1 species
GUGUUACUGCGAAGGGGGGACGGAGAAGGCUAUGUUGGCCGGGCGACGGUUGUCCCGGUUUAAGCGUGUAGGCUGGUUUUCCAGGCAAAUCCGGAAAAUCAAGGCUGAGGCGUGAUGACGAGGCACUACGGUGCUGAAGCAACAAAUGCCCUGCUUCCAGGAAAAGCCUCUAAGCAUCAGGUAACAUCAAAUCGUACCCCAAACCGACACAGGUGGUCAGGUAGAGAAUACCAAGGCGCUUGAGAGAACUCGGGUGAAGGAACUAGGCAAAAUGGUGCCGUAACUUCGGGAGAAGGCACGCUGAUAUGUAGGUGAAGUCCCUUGCGGAUGGAGCUGAAAUCAGUCGAAGAUACCAGCUGGCUGCAACUGUUUAUUAAAAACACAGCACUGUGCAAACACGAAAGUGGACGUAUACGGUGUGACGCCUGCCCGGUGCCGGAAGGUUAAUUGAUGGGGUCAGCGCAAGCGAAGCUCUUGAUCGAAGCCCCGGUAAACGGCGGCCGUAACUAUAACGGUCCUAAGGUAGCGAAAUUCCUUGUCGGGUAAGUUCCGACCUGCACGAAUGGCGUAAUGAUGGCCAGGCUGUCUCCACCCGAGACUCAGUGAAAUUGAACUCGCUGUGAAGAUGCAGUGUACCCGCGGCAAGACGGAAAGACCCCGUGAACCUUUACUAUAGCUUGACACUGAACAUUGAGCCUUGAUGUGUAGGAUAGGUGGGAGGCUUUGAAGUGUGGACGCCAGUCUGCAUGGAGCCGGCCUUGAAAUACCACCCUUUAAUGUUUGAUGUUCUAACGUGGACCCGUGAUCCGGGUUGCGGACAGUGUCUGGUGGGUAGUUUGACUGGGGCGGUCUCCUCCUAAAGAGUAACGGAGGAGCACGAAGGUUGGCUAAUCCUGGUCGGACAUCAGGAGGUUAGUGCAAUGGCAUAAGCCAGCUUGACUGCGAGCGUGACGGCGCGAGCAGGUGCGAAAGCAGGUCAUAGUGAUCCGGUGGUUCUGAAUGGAAGGGCCAUCGCUCAACGGAUAAAAGGUACUCCGGGGAUAACAGGCUGAUACCGCCCAAGAGUUCAUAUCGACGGCGGUGUUUGGCACCUCGAUGUCGGCUCAUCACAUCCUGGGGCUGAAGUAGGUCCCAAGGGUAUGGCUGUUCGCCAUUUAAAGUGGUACGCGAGCUGGGUUUAGAACGUCGUGAGACAGUUCGGUCCCUAUCUGCCGUGGGCGCUGGAGAACUGAGGGGGGCUGCUCCUAGUACGAGAGGACCGGAGUGGACGCAUCACUGGUGUUCGGGUUGUCAUGCCAAUGGCACUGCCCGGUAGCUAAAUGCGGAAGAGAUAAGUGCUGAAAGCAUCUAAGCACGAAACUUGCCCCGAGAUGAGUUCUCCCUGACCCUUUAAGGGUCCUGAAGGAACGUUGAAGACGACGACGUUGAUAGGCCGGGUGUGUAAGCGCAGCGAUGCGUUGAGCUAACCGGUACUAAUGAACCGUGAGG